ensembl:lncRNA
CUGGUUAAUGCCAGUACAAAUGGUACUUUGAAGCACCAUUUGAAACAACACCAUGUUUAACACAUAUGUUAGAAAUACCAUUUGGCUCUCUUAUUCAGUUUUGAAGUGUUUCAUUUUUUUCAGACAUCAGUAGUGAGUGGCUAUUUGGGCCAUCGACCACCCAAAGAGGUAAUUUUACUUUAAAUAAUUGUUCCUCAUACAUAGUUUUCCCCAUCUUCCCCGUUGAUCGUUGCUUCAAACCAACACGUUUUUUUUGACACAUUUCAUUGUUGGUCUGACUGGAUAAAGGACUACCCAACUGCAUACAAAGCCAUUCCUCUUGUGCAGUAAAGAAACACACACACACACACACACACACACACACACACACACACACACACACACACACACACACACACACACACACACACACACACACACACACACACACACACACACACACACACACACACACACACGGCAUCCCAGGACCAAGCCAAACUUCCUCGAUAUCAGGCUAACUGAUGGUUGAACAAGUAAAACUUAAAAUAUUGUAACUUACACACAAUAACAUGACUUUUUUAUUCCAGCUCAAUCAAAUGGCAGCCAGAGACUUGAGCUACUACAUAUAGGUAGGUUUUGGCGUCAGUAGAACAACUAAUUUCAACAUGUAUUGAUUGAACAUGUAUUUAUAUAAAUUUCUUACAAGGUAAAUCUUACAAACUCUUCCUUAAAUACACUACUUUGAAAAAAAUAUAUAAUCAUUGGCACUUGACACUAAUCAAUGACUUUUGAAUAUAGAUAGUCCAACCAAGCCACCAGCUAUUGCAUGGUAAGUCGAGGAGACAAACAUUCUAACCAUUGUUUUCAUCAUUAUCAUACACAUUAUAAUUAAGAUGAAAUGGGAAAGUACACCAAAGUACACCAAACCCCAGAAAACAUUUCUAAUAAGUAACUUCUAUGAACAGAUAUGGGAAUAUCUAAAGUCGUGGAGCUGCUUUCCAAAGUGCUGGAAGAAAAUAAAUUGAUGAAAGCAGAAAUUACCAACCUGGGGAGUGAAGUGAGGGCGCUUAGGAGAGAGAUGGUGAGGCCGGUAGCACCAGAAGCUGCCGCUUCGUCCAUCAAGCUGCCUCUGAGGACAAUGGAGGAGUUUCAAUUAGCAGAGGCUGUUAUGAGAGAAACCCCCUGCGAAAAACAAAAGAUGAUCUUAACAUUCAGUCUAAUUGGAGGGCACACUGCAGAAGAGGCCGUAAGAAGGAUGUUGCAGAGUGGCCUAACAAAUAACCUGGCGUGUCGCUUCAACUGGGCAGGGAAAGGCUUCAAGGAAGCCUUUAAAAGCACUGUCCUUAGUGAUGUACUGUUCGGUAUGUUUGUCAAAACUCAGUCACACCACACAAGCAUUAGACACAGAUACCACUGAUUAAAAUAAAUGCUUUUAAACCAGCAAGUCGAUUUUUUAAUAUGCACUAUGGGUAGUCUUCUGAGCUAUGCUUAUUUCAUGUAAAAUCAGAAAAAGUCCAUUCAUAGGCUACUAUGCGAUCUCAGUUUUGUGUCCAGAUGCAGCAAUGCUUUUAACACUGACAAUAUUCUGCACUGCACUCUUGGACUAUCAGUCAGCACUAUAGAACACUUUAGUUUGACGUUAUUUUACUUUUACUAUCUAGCUAUCUUGCACCGAAAGCCUACAUUCACAUAAGAAUGUAACAACGCGCUACUCCGCUAGCAUUGGCUACGAGUGGUAUGUCGGGCUACGGGCAUGCCCGUAGCCACGACGCUGAAGUUGGAAUCCGAUUCGCAGCAUCCGAUUCGGCUUGAAAACCACUUAGAAUCUUCAAAUCGGUCCUGAUUGAAAACCACUACACCUAUACUCUUCAAAUCUGGACUACAUUAUCACAGUAAGGCUAUACAUUAUGUAAAACAUAGUUUCAGAUUUUUGAAACCUUUACCCUAUUUGUGAAAAUGCAAUGCGGUCUGGACCCCUAAAUGAGCCUGUAUUGCAUUUUCACAAAUAGGGUAAAGGUUUCACAAAUCUGAAAAUAUGUUUUACAUAAUGUAUAGCCUCACUGUGAUAAUUUAGUCCAGAUUUGAAGAGUCUAGGUGUAGUGGUUUUUAAUCAGGAUCAGUUCUAAUGCGGUCUGGACCCCUAAAAAGCAUUAAAAUGUGCCUUUAUUGCAUUUUCACAAAUAGGGUAAAGGCUCACAAAUCUGAAACUAUGUUUUACAUAAUGUAUAGCCUCACUGUGAUCAUUUAGUCCAGAUUUGAAGAGUCUAGGUGUAGUGGUUUUCAAUAAGGACCGAUUUAAAGUGGACCAGCUGCCGAAUCGGAUGCUGCGAAUCGGAUGCCAACUUCAGCGUCGUCCCGUAGCCUACCAAUUUAACCCUGCAUGCAUGCAUUCUGUAAUCAAAGAAGUAACUGGGAUGGAGUCGAUGUGGUAACCCAUAGUGCAGUAAAAUGAGACUGAGAGGACAGUGAAACCAAUGCACUGCGCACCAGCGUUAAGGGUCUGUGGUUAGGAAACAAAUUGCUGACUUUUUGCCUGCAGGUGCACUAUGCAAAAAAUGGCCAUGGCCAUGUUACAGCUUACCGUCGCCAUGUUGGUAAUUCUUGACCGCUGCCAGGGACCACCCAUAUUGUUUUUUCAGGGACACUGAAGAAGUGGCUUAAAUAUGCACCGGAGAGAGAGGGAGGUGGAGGGAGGCGAACAAAUGAACGCGAUCAGGUAGGCCUAUGUACGCUUGUUCCACACACCAUGCGUCCUUCGACGGAUGAGCGUCGCGAGUGCGACUCUGAACCAUGGACAGGUCUGAACGGACGGACCCAAAAUGCAUUUCGAGAGCGCAAUGCUAUGGAGCCAGUUUCCUGCCAUAAUUCCAACCUGAAAAAAAAAGUUUCAAAGGGAAAUUCAAACAUCUGUAAACAUGAUUUGUGUUCUAUUUUAUCUUCAUCAUUUUCACCAACACAUUUUCAAAGUUCAAACAAUAUCACCAGCGCAUUUGCAGAGUUUCAAAUCUGGCACUGUUCUAACAGUGUAUUUCAUUGUUUCCCGGUUUUGAAACCUUGUAAAUGGGAUUCUGCAAACAGGUGUUAAAAACAUGUAAAGGUGUACGUUUACGCCAUUGCAAUGUCUUUUUUCAGAACUGACUUUUCAGAGAAUUGACCAUGCAGGCGCAAGCUUUGAGUCACGUGAAUAUUGGCAGCGUUCUGUCGCGCAUUCGUUUUGAAACUCCUGACAGUCUGAAGAAAAAGAAAACGUUCCUGGGGACCAUUUAUCUCUAAACCUAUUAGUUGCUAACCCUUUUCUUCAGAGACUGUCAGGAGUUUCAAAACAAAUGCGCGACAGAACACUGCCAAUAUUCACGUGACUCAAAGCUUGCGCCUGUGUGGUCGAAUCUCUGAAAAGUCAGUGCUGAUAAGUCACUUCUGAAAAAAUACAUUGCAAUGGCGUAAACAUACACCUUUACAAGUUUUUAAAAAUAAAUAUUCAACCUUUCAAAACUUAUUUCUCAAUGUAUGAACACCUGUUUGCAUUUACAAGGUUUCAAAACCGGGAAACAAUGAAAUACACUGUUAGAACAGUGCCAGAUUUGAAACUCUGCAAAUGCGCUGGUGAUAUUGUUUGAACUUUGAAAACAUGUUUGUGGGAAAAAAAAAAAUACUUUGAAAAUGUGUUGGUGAAAAUGAUGAAGAAGAUAAAAUAGAACACAAAAUCAUUUUUACAGUUGUUUGAAUUUUUUUCAGGUUAUAAUGUCUUUUUUCAGUGUUGCAAAACCUUUUUUACAAGGUGUUGAGUUUUCAAACCCAGACUUACAAGCCUUUGAAACUUUUCUUUUCAGGUUUGAAUUAUGGCAGGAAACUGGCUCCAUACAAUGCAAGUCACGGGCGCAUGGCGUAGUUUGAAACAAACCUCAUUCAGUCGUAUUGCUGGACUCAUUUUGUAGCCUAUACUGCUUAUGUUAAUAUUCCUCUAUUUAUUUUCAGGCGCCGCAGGAUCCUCGACCAUGAAUGAAUGUGUGUGUGUAAAUAAUAAUUAUAUUCGUUAGAAUAAUAGGGUUAUUUGGGGUUGGGUUGUUCGUGUUCGGUUAUCACGUUGUAUUGUUCAUUAUUGUCGCCAUCGUUGUUGUGUCAUGUUUGUUUGUUGGGUGCUCUAUGUGAGAGGAUUUUAAUAAAAGUAGUCUGCGUCGAGGGGUGUACGGGGCGCAGAACUACAGUUAAAUAAAGUCUGACUGUGCGUUUCUUGGCCGCCGCUACAAUAUGUUUGACAACAAUAGCCUAUGUUCUGUGUAUUCAUAUAUUCAUUAGAGCCUUGAAGGAGAUUCAGUAGCCUUAAAAUCCUAAUUUAAUUGUAGAGUCAUAUCAUGAUGUCCUUUAAAUAAAUCAGUGAGUGAAGAACCAACAUCGACCACAAUUCGACCAUAAUCACUAGUUGAAUAAAGGUUGAAAAGGGAUCGACGCGCCGUCGUCGGUCGCCUUCCAUUCAACGUUGAAUCGACCUGGAACAGUAUGAGCAAACUGCCGUUGAAUCGACCAAAAUUCGACCAUAAUCACUAGUUGAAUAAAGGUUGAAAAGGGGUCGACGCGCCGUCGUCGGCCGCCUUCCAUUCAACGUUGAAUCGACCUGGAACAGUAUAGAGCAAACUGCCGUUGAAUCGACCAAAAUUCGACCAUAAUCGUUGAAUAAAGGUUGAAAAGGGAUCGACACACCGUCGUCGUUCGCCUCCCAUUCAACGUUGAAUCGACGGUGGACAGUAUGAGCAAACUGACGUUGAAUCGACGCCCGGUCUCAACGCUG